rnacentral:rRNA from 1 species
GAUGAACGCUGGCGGCGUGCCUAAUACAUGCAAGUCGAGCGAACGGACGAGAAGCUUGCUUCUCUGAUGUUAGCGGCGGACGGGUGAGUAACACGUGGAUAACCUACCUAUAAGACUGGGAUAACUUCGGGAAACCGGAGCUAAUACCGGAUAAUAUUUUGAACCGCAUGGUUCAAAAGUGAAAGACAGUCUUGCUGUCACUUAUAGAUGGGUCCGCGCUGCAUUAGCUAGUUGGUAAGGUAACGGCUUACCAAGGCAACGAUGCAUAGCCGACCUGAGAGGGUGAUCGGCCACACUGGAACUGAGACACGGUCCAGACUCCUACGGGAGGCAGCAGUAGGGAAUCUUCCGCAAUGGGCGAAAGCCUGACGGAGCAACGCCGCGUGAGUGAUGAAGGUCUUCGGAUCGUAAAACUCUGUUAUUAGGGAAGAACAUAUGUGUAAGUAACUGUGCACAUCUUGACGGUACCUAAGCAGAAAGCCACGGCUAACUACGU